CCUACGGGAGGCAGCAGUGGGGAAUAUUGCACAAUGGGCGAGAGCCUGAUGCAGCAACGCCGCGUGAGGGACGACGGCCUUCGGGUUGUAAACCUCUUUUAGCAGGGAAGAAGCGAAAGUGACGGUACCUGCAGAAAAAGCACCGGCUAACUACGUGCCAGCAGCCGCGGUAAUACGUAGGGUGCAAGCGUUGUCCGGAAUUAUUGGGCGUAAAGAGCUCGUAGGCGGUUUGUCGCGUCUGCUGUGAAAACUGGAGGCUCAACCUCCAGCCUGCAGUGGGUACGGGCAGACUAGAGUGCGGUAGGGGAGAUUGGAAUUCCUGGUGUAGCGGUGGAAUGCGCAGAUAUCAGGAGGAACACCGAUGGCGAAGGCAGAUCUCUGGGCCGUAACUGACGCUGAGGAGCGAAAGGGUGGGGAGCAAACAGGCUUAGAUACCCUGGUAGUCCACCCGUAAACGUUGGGAACUAGAUGUGGGGACCAUUCCACGGUCUCCGUGUCGCAGCUAACGCAUUAAGUUCCCGCCUGGGGAGUACGGCCGCAAGGCAAAACUCAAAUGAAUUGACGGCUUGAGAGNGCGACGCGACGACGAGGGAGGAGG
rnacentral:rRNA from 1 species